rnacentral:lncRNA from 1 species
ACAUUUGUCCCUGGGGCGUUCUUGCUGUCCUGGUAUUCUAAGACAAGUAAGUGAGUAAAAUUAAAAACUCAAGCAAACAGAUAAACAGAAACCCCAACCAAAUGACCACCAUCAUUAAAAACCAAUAAGUAAGCAAAUCCUAAGCCUAUAGUUACAAUGUUUAAGUGAAACUUGACCCACAUCCUGUGUACAAGGACAAUGUAAAGAUUAGUGUGUUUAAACUCAAAGCUCUGUUUAAUGUUUAUGUUGCAGGCAUAAUUUUUUUUUCUUUCUGCAUUUUCUUUUGAUAGUUUUCAGGGCAGCGUGUUUGCUUCUUAAAGUGUUUUCUUUUCUUUUUUUUUUUCUCAUUUACAUUAAUUGGACAAACUGACAUCUAUCAAGAAGAAACCUUGGCCAGUGGGUAAUGGGGUGCCCAACUUUUGGGGUAUUACUAGUGUUAAAAUGGAACAUAAUUGUUUAAAGCAUGACAUUUGUCCUCACUCUCUGCAUAU